rnacentral:rRNA from 1 species
GUCUACGGCCAUGCCACCCUGAACAAACCCAAUGUCUGAUCUCGGAAGCUAAGCAGGGUCGGGCCUGGUUAGUACUUGGAUGGGAGACCACCUAGGAAGACCAGGUGCUGUAGGCA